GCUCCCAUCGUCUAGUCCGGUCAAGGAUACGGCCCUUUCGAGGCUGAGACUCGGGUUCAAAUCCCGGUGGGAGCA
rnacentral:tRNA from 1 species